GGAGCAGGUGAGCAACCACGGUGCCAAAUCCUUGACAAUACCCGACGUCCGGGUAAAGCCACGCGAUUGAGCGGAGGACCCGACGAAGACGUGGGAUUCCGGGAGAAUCGGAUUUACAGAAGCACCCGUUUCCUGGUCGGAGCGAGUGCGGAAUGCCGGCAUGGGUGGUCAUCAUCUCCCAAAGUUUUUCCGUGAGCGGUAACUUUUCUGGGAUUGAGUCCCACGACAAUUCGUGGACUUCUUCCCGACUGUGAGAAAAUUCCAGUUUUCUAUUCAUAAGCGGAUGGAUAUGAAUUUAUAUUCAACUUUUUCAUUUGAUGACGACAAAAAGUCCAGAGGAUUCAUUUAAUAAAUACACAUUUUGCGAGAA